rnacentral:snRNA from 1 species
GUGCUCACUUCAGCAGCACAUAUACUAAAAUUGGAACGAUACAGAGAUUAGCAUAGCCCUGUGCAAGGAUGACAUGCAAAUUCGUAAAGCGUUCCAUAUUUUA